AAACCGUUCAGGGGUAAACCUGAGAAACCCAAAAGAUCGAAUGGGGAGAUUCAUCGUCAACGAGGCUGGCCUCGGGACAGUUCGCGAUGUUGACGGCCUCGGCCGUCUGGCACGCGUCUGUCUCGUAACGCUUGGUCACGUCGGCGUGCACUUCUCCCCUAGUAGAACGUCGCGACCCGUUGAGUGUCGGUCUACGGCCUCGGUGGUUGUCUGUUCUCUUCCUUCACGGGAAGGGUCAGGCCCCGGGAUGCCCGGCCGACUGCUCGGCGGUACACGCACGGUACAGGGUCGCAGUUAUCGACUGCGUCGGACCCGUCGCAAGCGCGGCUAGUUCUCGGACGUGCGGACCAAGUGCCGUCGCUGAGCCUAGCCUGCUGUUGGCUGGCGGUGUUCUCUGACUGGCCCGCCACUUUUAUUAGUGAUUACCGGUCGGCGACGCUACUGCUUUGGGUACUUUCAGGA
rnacentral:rRNA from 1 species